UGCUAGUCGGUGGUCACAGAAGCACUCAACACAGAAGUACUUGGCUUGGUACAGAUUCGUUGGCAGUCGGAGCGUCAGUUUGUUCGACCCGACCAGUUCUCACCCCAUAGCUGAAUCGUCUUCUACCAAAGUCUUAAACUAUCAUCACUAAUACUAUUACGGCUAUAUUCCCUCUUGGCCUAUUGUGUAAUCUUGUAGGAGAGCUCCUGGAAGUUUAUCAAAGCAUUCGACCGAAGUCAAGCAAUCUGUAACCGCUAUGGGGCUGUUAGACGAGUAACCGCUGAACGGGGGUGUCAAUUCCAGGACAAACCGUAGUGUCCAUAUUCAUCGGAUCCAUUAACAAGAAAAAGCAUAGCAAUCGAACUGCUGCACGAUAAAUUGCUUAAUGAAGAAAAUUUCAACAGCUUUCGUGAAAAUUAGUGCUAAGGGCACAAUUUUUUCCGGUUUGGGAUUCAUCGACUGCUGAUUUUGCUGUCGGCUUUAGGAUUUGCAAUCACGAUGACGGAAGCGUCAUUAACUUGAUCGUACUGUGAAUGGCUGUGCCGCGAUCAUCACAUAACGCUACUACCCUAAACCUUCAUGUAAGAACGCAUAAUUGUGACGACUUCAUUAACAAGAUGUCACCUCAUCUCUUAUGGCGGCAAGUGUUCACUCUGUGUAACAGUCAACGGUCUUCGUAUAACCGUUGCUGGCCCGUGCGUCAUUAGCGUUGUUCGUACUCUACCGAUUUCUGUAGUAAUUAUGCCCUAUUUAUACUUGUCAAACCCAUUCACUCUAAAAGCUAGUAAUCGAAAAUAUACAGAAAGUACACAAAUAAAUUCAGUAAAAUAAUAAUGAGAUA